CGCAGCUGGGAAAAGAAACCAAAACAUCAACGUUGUGGCCAAGCAACAUCACCAGACCUUUCAAACCAAUGGAAACUCGCUGAGCUGCCACACACUUGGACCCCAGAGGAAGCCUGAACAUCACAAGCACCCGUUUACAAGGAUUAGGGGUAACAGGAGGCUGUGACCAAACAUUUGGUACAGACAUCUCAGCUGUGGCAGAUGUCUGGUCAGCUCUGACUGCACCUCCUUGCUGCAUCUCUGUAACCGUGUGGCAAUUACAGAGUAAGAGAAGCUCUGAGAACAGAGCCUGGACCCCGAGCCCACAGCUGAACACAGAAGACCGUCACGGAAGUCUCAAUGCAAAUUUGUGGCUGCUCAGUGGCUCAUUUCCAUACUGGCUUUACACUGGCCAGUCACACGGGUCUAAAUGCCAUGUGCAAGGGGCAGAUAUGGAAGAGUGGUCAGCUUUCAUUUGCUGACAACAGGCUUCUCACAAUCAAUAUUAAAAGUCUUUCACACACUGAAAACAAAUGAGAACAUUCCCAGCUCAAGGAUUUCUGGGUUAAGACCAGAUCUCGAGAUGAAGCAAGCCAACCAAACUCUGCCAAAUCUGGAUCUUGCCCAUUCUUUUCAAGCUGCCUAAUCCUGUUAUGAAGUUAAGUUGUAACAGGGAAUUUAAAUCUCAAAUACAUGAGAUACCGAGCAGG